rnacentral:rRNA from 1 species
GAUGAACGCUGGCGGCGUGCUUAACACAUGCAAGUCGAACGGAAAGGCCAGUGCUUGCACUGGUGCUCGAGUGGCGAACGGGUGAGUAACACGUGGGUGAUCUGCCCUGCACUUUGGGAUAAGCCUGGGAAACUGGGUCUAAUACCAGAUAGGACCAUGCUUUGGAUGGUGUGGUGGAAAGUUUUUUCGGUGUGGGAUGAGCUUGCGGCCUAUCAGCUUGUUGGUGGGGUAAUGGCCUACCAAGGCGUCGACGGGUAGCCGGCCUGAGAGGGUGUACGGCCACAUUGGGACUGAGAUACGGCCCAGACUCCUACGGGAGGCAGCAGUGGGGAAUAUUGCACAAUGGGCGCAAGCCUGAUGCAGCGACGCCGCGUGGGGGAUGACGGCCUUCGGGUUGUAAACUCCUUUCGCAACUGACGAAGCUUUUUGGGACGGUAGGUUGAGAAGAAGCACCGGCUAACUACGU